rnacentral:rRNA from 1 species
UACGUAGGAUGCGAGCGUUGUCCGGAUUUACUGGGCGUAAAGGGCGCGUAGGCGGCCAUCUUUGUCAGGCGUGAAAUCCCCGGGCUUAACCUGGGAAUGGCGCUUGUGACUGGCGGGCUGGAGUACGGCAGAGGGAGGUGGAAUUCCACGUGUAGCAGUGAAAUGCGUAGAGAUGUGGAGGAACACCGAUGGCGAAGGCAGCCUCCUGGGCCAGUACUGACGCUCAUGCACGAAAGCGUGGGGAGCAAAC